rnacentral:lncRNA from 10 species
GUUGCACAGUGACAAUCUUGCCACCCUUUUAAAGCCUUUUACUUUAUGGGUUCCUAGAAAACCACUCAUCGUCAUUAUUAACAUUCAUUAGAUGUUUCUCUUAAAUCCUAGACGGUAUUCCUAAAUCAGGAAUUUUAAUAGAUCAGAAUACGGCAGUCUGUUUUCCUGGGCAUCAAUUAUAAUAUAACCUUGUACUGUCACACUGGUCUUUGACUUCGACGAUGAAAAAGAAAGAAAGGCUCAGAAAGAUGGGUCCCGGAAGCAGCCGAGGAAAACAGGUAGUUAUCAAGGUUAGAGCCAUCACAAAGAGAGGAGUACCUCGCUAUGUGAUAAACCUGCAACCCAAAUACUAACCAUACCAUGGGUCAGUAUGGUCGUUUGAAGGGAGGGAAAUGGUAUGGGUGUAUUCCUCUUGCAGGAAGACCCCAUAUCUACUUUGGGUAAAGUGAGGAGCCAUUUUCCUGAGGCUAGCGGUAGGUGGGAGAUAUAUGGACAAUGGCACUGGACUGAGAGCUUAGAUAACCUGUCCCUGGUGACUCCUGACCUGCAGCCUUGCUCCCUCUUUCCCUCUCACCAGACUCCCUCCCUUCUUCAGAUCAGGUGACACAAACGAUUUUUUUUCUGUUUUUUUGACACACAGUCUUGGUUUGUUGCCCAAGCUGGAGGGCAGUGGUGCGAUCACAGCUGACCCUAACUUCGACCUUAAGGUUCAAGAGACUCUCCUGCCUCAGUCUCCAGAGUAGCUAGUACCACCAACAUGGGCCACCAUACCCAGCUAAUUUUUAUUUUUUGUAGAAUGAGAUCUUACUAUAUUCCCCAGGCUGGUCUCAAACUCUUGGCCUCAAGCAGUCCUCCUGCCUCAGACUCCUAAAGUGCUGGGAUUAUAGGCGUGAGCCACCACAGAUUUUUAUUAGCAUCAGUAAAGGAAUAAAUUUGAUAAAUUAAAAUUUUUGGCCAGGCGUGGUGGCUCAUGCCUGUA